rnacentral:tRNA from 1 species
GCAUUGAUAGCUUAAUUUUAGAGCAUAGCACUGAAGAUGCUAAGGUGGCGACCUACGCCUCAAAGCAC